rnacentral:rRNA from 1 species
GGGAAUUUUUCCGCAAUGGGCGAAAGCCUGACGGAGCAAUACCGCGUGAGGGAGGAAGGCUCUUGGGUUGUAAACCUCUUUUCUCAGGGAAGAACAGAAUGACGGUACCUGAGGAAUAAGCAUCGGCUAACUCCGUGCCAGCAGCCGCGGUAAUACGGAGGAUGCAAGCGUUAUCCGGAAUGAUUGGGCGUAAAGGGUCCGCAGGUGGCAUUGUAAGUCUGCUGUUAAAGAGUUUGGCUCAACCAAAUAAGAGCAGUGGAAACUACAAAGCUAGAGUGUGGUCGGGGCAGAGGGAAUUCCUGGUGUAGCGGUGAAAUGCGUAGAUAUCAGGAAGAAC